GCUCGUCUCGCACGCACAGCCCUUCGUGGUUAAAUAGUCAUCGAUUUGGUCACACUUCAUCCCAGAUGGGUUGUAUCUGAAGAUGGAAUUUCUAAUAAUUUACGUUAUGUACUCAAAAUUUCUUAGUAGUUCCACGGUAUCUAUUUUAUUUUUCAAAAGUACUUUCUGUUAUUUUUUUUAAUUUUUAUUUUUUUUUUGGAGGAGAAGGGGAUGGUAACAACCGACCUUGUUCCAUGGUGAUAUUUACAUUUCUCGAUUAGCACUUAUCUUCUAAGCUGGGUUAUCAGGUCCACUGCCAGGUCUGGUUAGGUUAAGAAUAUAUAUUACGGAGUUCCUCAUCCGGUUCUUUGUUGUCUUCUAAGUUUAAAGGUCUCCUUAAUGGUAGAUUCCAGGUGUUAUACCUUGCUUCAGCAUUCUGAAACAGCAAUAUUUUUCUGAGUAGUAGCUUGAUAGAGGCAAGGAAAAGGAGACUGAAAGAGGUACCAUCCAACCAUGAACCUUCCAGCAUUGAGUACAAGUAAUAUACAAUAAAUGCUAGGCAGCACCAGAAAUCUUGCAAAAUUUUACAUAAUCCUUCUAAAGUGGAGACUGUGUUCUACUGUUCUU
rnacentral:lncRNA from 1 species